ensembl:lncRNA
GGAAGUUUAUUUAAGGAUGUCUUCUUUCUUCCUCUCCUGUCUCUGGGGAAUUAUACCGGUUAGAUUCACGCAGUAGAUGUCAGUUUUGAGUCUGUUGUUCCUGCGUGUGCAAAACUGUCGUCAUUGUCAGGGCCAGAUACGUUGUGCUGAAGGGCUCAUCUGUACAGGGAGGAUCAUGGACAUGUGGUGUACUAGUGCAAUGGAUGUGUUUGGUUUAUUUUAUUCAGUAUUAAGAAAAAGGAAAAAGCGAUAGAGGUGGUGGAAUUAGACACUAAGUGGGUAUUUCUCCUCUAUAGAUGUGCCAGGAAAAAAUGUUGGAGUCACCAUUAACUCAAUCACAAGAAGAGCAGUGGAGAGGCUGGAAAGAGUUUGAGAUGAACGGAAUACGAAUGUCCGUAAAGUGGGCGCAGCCACUGCGUGCGGGUCCAGCCUCCCUGGUGCAGCGGGAGUGUCCGUGUUGUCCUGCUGACCUCUGCCCGGCUCCGGAGAGGAUCUUAUGAAUUGCUCCAGUCUGAAGGAUUACAUUACAGAGCAGUUCAUGAGUAUGGCAUUUCCUGGAACAUAUUCAAAGAAAUAUGGUGCAAGUGCAUAUUCUGGCAUACAGUUUUCUACCUUCCUGUAAGUGAAAUAUUACCAAAACCAAAAAACAACCCCCUCCAAGAAACAAACCAAAACAUUAAGGGUCUGUGAGACAUCUAAAACUAGAGGUAGACUUUUUUCAUAAAGUGCACCUUGUUAGUAUAAUACACUUUCAAACUUAUUUCUGAAAUCUGCUGUUAUUUCUGAAAUCUUGCUGCUAUAGAGCUUACACAUUUUCUGCAUGAAUAGUGACUGACAUUAGCUCAGCAUUACAUUUAAGGAGUCAGAUGCUUCUUUGCAAUGAAACGUGGAAUUUAGACAGAAGAUUAUCCACAACACCAUUAUUACACAGUUUGAACAGCAAAGUGUCUGUGUCACCUAGGCUGAGUUCACCAAGGUCUGUGGGAACCUGUGGUUUACCUCCUGCAGUUUUGUGAAUAUGCGUCAACCCUCUGGCUGCUCUACGGUCCAGGUAAACUUUGCAGAACAUCGUUUUUGUUGUGCUAACUGUGGGAUGCAAAGCCUACCCAGGCAGAUGGAGUUUGUUUCCAUCGUCUCCUGCAGCUGAGAGGGGGCACGGAGGUUUAGUUGUGUGCGUGCCAGCGGGGCUGCUAUCGCUGCGCUCCAGGGAGCCCCGCGGGGGCCAGGGCCGCUGGAGCAGCAAAGGAGAGCACGAGGUUGGAAAGGGCUCGGAGGGACUGCGCGUUUCAGAACGGGCAAUGCAAGGCGGAGAGCCUCGGGAAAACUUUUUCAGGUUUCGUUUACAAAUUGAAAUACGUAAGUAAACUCUUAAGAGAGACUCUGGAGACCAGAAACUGUUCACAAAGAAAUGUCUUCAGUAAUUUUGAACACUGAGUGAAUUGAGAUGUGGGUUUGGUAUAAGAGGCAUGUUAUUUAUCACCAAAGAUAACAGCUAAAUCCUACUAAAUAUCUGAUUAAUUUGGCCAUGUUUUUUCAUGUGGAAUGUUACUGAAAAUUCACACGUACCGUAUGUUUGUCAAAUAAAAAUCUCCACCAAAUUACUUAGCUCCA